rnacentral:pre_miRNA from 1 species
UGAUGUGCCAAGUUGAUGGUCUGGCUGUAUUCUACAGUGCAUGUGUCUCCAGUGAUCUUAUGCAACUGGAGAUACAGCCCUGUUGGAAUAACAUUCAGAACCAAUAUCGUCUGGAA